AUACGGAGGGGGUUAGCGUUGUUCGGAAUUACUGGGCGUAAAGCGCACGUAGGCGGACUGGAAAGUUGGGGGUGAAAUCCCGGGGCUCAACCCCGGAACUGCCUCCAAAACUUCCAAUCUAGAGAUCGCGAGAGGUGAGUGGAAUUCCAAGUGUAGAGGUGAAAUUCGUAGAUAUUUGGAGGAACACCAGUGGCGAAGGCGGCUCACUGGCUCGAUACUGACGCUGAGGUGCGAAAGCGUGGGGAGCAAACAAGAUUAGAUACCCCGUAGUCC
rnacentral:rRNA from 1 species